CUCUGGAGUAGCUGGGAUUACAGGCGUGCGCCACCAUGCCCGGCUAAUUUUUGUAUUUUUAGUAGAGACGAGGUUUCACCAUAUUGGUAAGGCUGGUCUCGAACUUCUGACCUCAGGUGAUUCACCCACCUUGGGCUCCCAAAGUGCUGGGAUCACAGGCAUGAGCCACCGCGCCUGGCCUACUGUCCAUAUUUCUAUGAACAUUCUAAACAUCACUGUAGUAAUCUCUAGGAAGGUCCAAACUUUGCUGACAGCUUUUCUCUUCUUCUGAGCCUUCUUAAGAAUUGCCCUUAGUGCUUCAUUCAUGGCAGUCUAGGUGUUUUCUAGCCCGCUCCUCUAAAUUCUUCCAGCCUCUAUGCAUUACCCAGUUCCAAAGUUGCUUCCACAUUUUCAGGCAUUUGUUAUAGCAUCAGCCCUGCUUCUUGGUACCAGUUUUCUGUCUUGGUCCAUUUUGUGCUGCUAUAAGAGAAUAUCUGAAGACUAGGUAACUUAUAAAGAAGAAAAUGUAUUUAGCUCCCAAACUUUCAAGUUCUGGAGCCUGGAAAGUCCAAUAUGAAGGUGCCAGCAUCUAAUGAGGGCUUUCCUGCCACAUCAUCCCAUGGCGGAAAAUGAGAGGGUGGGAAAGGAUGAGAGAAGGCUGAACUCGAUUUUAUAACAAACCCACUAUCUUGACGAUGAACCCACUCCCGUGAUAACAACCUUAAUCCAUUCAUGAAGGCAGAUCACUCAUGACCUAAUCACCUCUUACACAUCCCAUCUCUCUUUUUUUUUUUUUUUUUUUGUAUUUUUUUUUAAAUUUAUUUUUUUAUUGAUAAUUCUUGGGUGUUUCUCACAGAGGGGGAUUU
rnacentral:lncRNA from 1 species